rnacentral:piRNA from 1 species
UGAGAAGCUGAUGAAUCUUUUACAAGAGC